rnacentral:miRNA from 1 species
UUUUUUGCAAGUUACCACA